rnacentral:rRNA from 1 species
UACGUAGGGGGCUAGCGUUGUCCGGAAUCAUUGGGCGUAAGGCGCGUGUAGGCGGCCCGAUAAGUCCGCUGUGAAAGUCCAGGGCUCAACCCUGGGAUGCCGGUGGAUACUGUCGGGCUCGAGUCCGGAAGAGGCGAGUGGAAUUCCUGGUGUAGCGGUGAAAUGCGCAGAUAUCAGGAGGAACACCAAUGGCGAAGGCAGCUCGCUGGGACGUGACUGACGCUGAGACGCGAAAGCGUGGGGAGCAAACAGG